rnacentral:misc_RNA from 2 species
AACGCACAUUGCGCCCUGUGGUAUUCCGCAGGGCAUGCCUGUUCGAGCGUCAGUACAACACUCAAGCUCUGCUUGGUAUUGGGCCCUGCUGGUAACGGCGGGCCUUAAAAUCAGUGGCGGUGCCAUCUGGCUCUAAGCGUAGUAAUACUCCUCGCUAUAGAGUCCCGGUGGAUACUUGCCAGCAACCCCCAACUUUCUAAGUUUGACCUCGGAUCAGGUAGGGAUACCCGCUGAACUUAA